CCCUGGCACAUCCAGCCCUGGCCAGGCAUUUCUGCCGCAGGCAGAUGCGACGCAGCGGCUGGACCGCUGUCCCCGGUGCUGAAAGGUCGAGGGCGCCCGCGCGAGCCCUCUGUAUUGCUAUCCAGGGUGCUGAGCGCGGGCCGCCGCAGUCCCCGAAGCCAGCCCACCCGCGCCAGCCCUCCGCAAAGCCCUCCCACCCGGCACGACCCGCCCGCCUCCCGCCAGCCUGCAGUUGACGUGGAGCAGGCGGCAUAAAUCAAGUCCGCGGGGCAUGGAGGCUGCUGUCGCUGCAGCAGCUCAGCUUGCCCGGGGCGGGAACUCCCCCUUUCUCCUUUCGCCUCCCCAGCACCCACACCCUGUCUCCCCCUGAAUUCUUCCCUGGAUAAUAGCACCCUAACGACAACAGUCAUAAUAAUAGGGUUAGAACGACAGGGGAGGAAAACCCAACAGCCUAAAUAUCUCUGAAAACUGCAUCGCAAAAUGGAAGAAAGAGGGGGUCCCACUACUGUUUCAAAAGAGAGCCAUGGAAGCCAAAUGCUGAGGAUGGUGGCAUCAUAGGGUGAAUGGAGCUGGGUUCUUGAAACACUGCUUGGAGGAAAGACAGCAAAAAUGCCUCAUGAAUCCAACUGGACUGUUAUGAUGCUCACCCUUGGAGACCAGCAACAAUGUAUGCAGAAACCCAGGCCAUGUGGAAAGGCCCCACGUACGUGUACAACUGAGGUCCCAGCUGACAGCUGGCAUUGACAUAAUGUUCACUCUGGGGGAAGCCAGCUGCCACACCGUAAGGACACUCGGGCAGUCCUAUGAAGAGGCCUGUGUGGUGAGAAAGUGAGGCCUCCAGCCUACAGCCAUAGAUGGGGUCUUGCUAUGUUGCCCAGGUUGGAGUACAGUGGUUACUCACAGGUAUGAUUCCACUACUGAUCAGCACGAGAGUUUUCACCUGUUCCAUUUCCUACCUGGGAAGUCAUCAUAUUGAUGGCAAACUUAGUGCGGACACCUGAUCAGCAUAGCGCAGUACAGCCCAGAACCCCUGGGCUCCAGUGAUCCUCUUACUUCAGCCUCUUGAGUAGCUGAAACUACAGGCCCGCACCACUGCACCUGGCUAGUUUGUUUUUGUUAGAGUUUUGUCUCUAGGAUUGUCCUCAGCUGAGUACAUGAAGGCUAACUUCUCCUUGUGAAUCUGCAAAUAUCCUUAUUUUACCCUGUAUUUUACCAUGUGUCAUUUUCAGGUAAAUGAUAUCUUAGCUGUGUAUUGAAUUUCUGUUUUUUGUUUUUUCUUCAGUACUCUAUAAAUAUUACUCCAGUAUCUUCUAGCUUCUCCCAUUUUCUCCUAGUGAAUGGUUAUUCUGCUCUUAUCUAGCAGGUGGUAAAUCUAACAACAGAUACGUUUUCCUUUUUGUUUUAUGUGUAAGUUGUUAUUUCUUCCUUAAAGUUUGUAAUCUUUUCCUAUUUAUUCUUUAAAUGUUAGACUAUAAUCAGGAUGUGUUUAGGUUGAUAUCUUUGCUUAUCAAUUCUGCCUGGAAAUCAGGAACCUCUUCCAAUAUUCAGACUUGUGUUUUCAGCUCAGAAUAAUUAUUUUAUCAUUUGUUUGAUUAUUGCCUUUAGUUGCACUGGAUCUUAGUUAAAAUUCCCAUUCUGAUUCAAAAUAUCUGGAAGGCAAGUAUUUGUCAACUAAGGGAAAGGUGACCAUGCAUCAAUGGUUUUGCUGAGACUAGCUGGUUUACACCUUCAGGCUUUAUACUUAGAAAAUACUGCAAUCAUCUUCUUGUCAUGAAGUUACAAACUUCAGGACAAAGGCUAACCAGCUAAGACUAGCAGAGCAAAUUCCAAGAACUUGGGGCUUUAAUUAACUUGAAUUAAUUUGGACUUGCCCUACCUUUAACUUCACACUAAGUGAGAUAAUAAUUCCCCAUAUUUUCAAGCCAUUUUUGAGAUGAGUCUCUUAUGGCCAAAAGCAUCCUAAUUUAUACAACAUCCUUUUGGUACCUAACUAAAUAUUCACCAAUAUUUGGUACAUUUGUUAAAUCUUUUGGUGUGUGCCUCUUCUAUGUAAUGUAAAUACGGUCUGACUAUCUAUUCAGAAAUUAUAGUUGAUUUGCAAAAAUAACUACUAGAUCGCCUAUAUUAAUUGAUAGUUAUUCCUUCCCAACCUCCUUUCACUCUUCCAUAUAUAUACAAAGUAAAUCUCAAUCAUUAUGUUGAUUAAACAAAAUAGCAGUGAAAUCAGGAUGUUACUGCUCAUUGUACAUUUAUUUCAAUUAUGGAAAAAGCCAAAACUUUACUCCCUUAAUUAACACUUCUCUAGAAAAGCAGUUGAAAUAACCUAGUGUCAUUCUAAAAUGAUUUGUAUACUAUGUAGACCAGAAUCUAGGGCUAUACCUAAAAAUACAUAAAUGAAAUUAUUCUAGAAGUUAAAUCUUCAUGAAAAAACAAAUUAAAUGGUUUACUAACCUCAAGCUGAUUAAAUGUUUUUAUUAAAUGCAGCCUCAGCCAGCACCUCUUUUCAUGGCUGCAAUAAUUAAGUAUAAUAAAUAUUCAAAUCAGUAAUUGAAUUUGUUAAAAAAAAAACAUGCUCAGCUCAGUGAAGACUUUCUAAUAAAUAGAAUUCAAGUACCAUAUUUUCAUACUUCAUAACACUUGCCUCAUCUUAGUUUAAUGACUGCCAUUUCUUGCACUAUAACAAGAUUUUAUUUUUUAUUUUGUUUUAUGCUAUUCAAACAAACACAUUCAAAGUCAUAGGCUAUACCUAUGUAUAACCAUGUUCUGGGAGUUGGUUUAUGUGUUUGUUUAUUUUCUCACAAGUAAAGAUAGGUCAGAUAUUGCCAAAUUAGUAAAUAACUAAACUUGAGAUGGGAAAUACUCUAGAGACACAAUCUGCUUAGCUUUGCAUACUUUUAGUCACUUUUCCCAUUACUCUGUCCAGCUUUCCAGUAAUACUCAUAACAUUGCCUUGAUUUCAUAUGACCACGCAGUAAAGUGAUUACGGCACUUAGAAUUUUGUUGCUUUUUCUGUGCUAACAACUUAAAAGUUUCAAAUAACUGAUGUUCAAAACAGUGAAGAUUUCCUUUUAUAAACAAGUUGGAAAGGAAACUUUUUAUGUUAUUACCCUCAAGUAUUCUAACUAAUAUAAAACGUCUUUCAGUCUUUUAGGCAAAGCAUUUAGACAAAAAGUACAAAGAAUAAAUUUACAUUGUGUUAAGCUGCG
rnacentral:antisense_RNA from 1 species